rnacentral:rRNA from 1 species
UACAGAGGGUGCGAGCGUUGUUCGGAAUUAUUGGGCGUAAAGGGCGCGUAGGCGGUGCGGUAAGUCACCUGUGAAAUCUCCUGGCUCAACUGGGAGCUUGCAGGCGAAACUGCCGUGCUGGAGUGUGGGAGAGGUGCGUGGAAUUCCUGGUGUAGCGGUGAAAUGCGUAGAUAUCGGGAAGAACACCCGUGGCGAAGGCGGCUCUCUGGAACGCAACUGACGCUGAGACGCGAAAGCGUGGGGAGCAAACAGG